rnacentral:rRNA from 1 species
GAUGAACGCUGGCGGCGUGCCUAAUACAUGCAAGUCGAGCGAACAGAUGAGGAGCUUGCUCCUCUGACGUUAGCGUCGGACGGGUGAGUAACACGUGGAUAACCUACCUAUAAGACUGGGAUAACUUCGGGAAACCGGAGCUAAUACCGGAUAAUAUAUUUAACCGCAUGGUUCAAUAGUGAAAGACGGUUUUGCUGUCACUUAUAGAUGGAUCCGCGCCGCAUUAGCUAGUUGGUAAGGUAACGGCUUACCAAGGCAACGAUGCGUAGCCGACCUGAGAGGGUGAUCGGCCACACUGGAACUGAGACACGGUCCAGACUCCUACGGGAGGCAGCAGUAGGGAAUCUUCCGCAAUGGGCGAAAGCCUGACGGAGCAACGCCGCGUGAGUGAUGAAGGUCUUCGGAUCGUAAAACUCUGUUAUUAGGGAAGAACAAAUGUGUAAGUAACUAUGCACGUCUUGACGGUACCUAAUCAGAAAGCCACGGCUAACUACGUG